GACGAAGGUGGCGACCGUUGUUCGGAAUCACUGGGCAUAAAGAGCACGUAGGCGGCCAGGUAUGUCGGGUGUGAAAUCCCUCGGCCUAACCGAGGAAUUGCGCCCGAAACUACCUUGCUUGAGGAUGGAAGGGGAGCGUGGAAUUCCUGGUGGAGCGGUGAAAUGCGUUGAUAUCAGGAGGAACACCGGCGGCGAAGGCGACGCUCUGGUCCAUUACUGACGCUGAGGUGCGAAAGCCAGGGGAGCAAACGGG
rnacentral:rRNA from 1 species